rnacentral:lncRNA from 1 species
CACUUCUCGGAUUCCCUUUGAGACUCUUCGAAACUUUGACACAGCCUAAAUAUGAGAAAGUCUUUUGUAAAUUUGAUCCUGAAAGUUGGUUUAUCUCAUAUUGUUGGACUUUUAGUCUGAAUUAGGUUGUUUAGAUGUAGCUGUAACUGCUUAUGUAAUUUUUUUACUUUCUUUUUUGAUUCAUUCAGUCUGUAAUAAUUUUUAAU